GUUUAAGGCCAUGCUACCUUGAACAUGCCCAAUCCCAUCUGAUCUUGGAAGCUAAGCAGGGUCAGGCCUGGUUAGUACUUGGAUGGGAGACCACCUAGGAAGACCAGGUGCUGUAGGCG
rfam:Pteropus alecto contig103344, whole genome shotgun sequence.